rnacentral:lncRNA from 1 species
GCUAAAUACGGUAUACAUAUAACCCAAAGAAAAAUCUCCACAAAUAAAGGAUAGAACUCCAUAGCUUCUUACCUUAUCUAAGAUACCAGGUAUGGUGAAUUUUCCNUAGCUUCUUACCUUCUCUAGGAUACCAGGUAUGGAUGAAUUUUCCAUCUUUACACAAGUCUAUAACAAUCUUAUAUUACUUGUGCAAAUACAUAUACAUGAAACAAAUAGAAAGUUAGAAGCCACAUGGAUAAUGUUUUUUGCAUGUAUU